UAGGGAAUAUUGCACAAUGGACGAAAGUCUGAUGCAGCGACGCCGCGUGAGUGAUGAAGGCCUUCGGGUCGUAAAACUCUGUGAUAUGGGAAGAUGAUGACGGUACCAUAUCAGAAAGGACCGGCUAACUUCGUGCCAGCAGCCGCGGUAAUACGAGGGGUCCAAGCGUUGUUCGGAAUCACUGGGCGUAAAGCGGGUGUAGGUGGCUAGGCAAGUUAGGUGUGAAAGCCCCGGGCUCAACCCGGGAAGUGCACCUAAAACUACUUAGCUUGAGUAAGGAAGAGGAUAGGAGAAUUCUUGGUGUAGUGGUGAAAUACGUAGAUAUCAAGAGGAACACCGGUGGCGAAGGCGCCUAUCUGGUCCAUUACUGACACUCAGACCCGAAAGCGUGGGUAGCAAACA
rnacentral:rRNA from 1 species